UGCAUAUCAAUAAGCGGAGGAAAAGAAACUAACAAGGAUUCCCCUAGUAACGGCGAGUGAAGCGGGAAGAGCUCAAAUUUAAAAUCUGGCAGGCUACGCUUGUCCGAAUUGUAAUCUCGAGAAGUGUUUUCCGCGUUGGCCUGUGUACAAGUCCCUUGGAACAGGGCGUCAUAGAGGGUGAGAAUCCCGUCCUUGACACAGACACCCAAUGCUUUGUGAUACACUCUCAAUGAGUCGAGUUGUUUGGGAAUGCAGCUCAAAAUGGGUGGUAAAUUCCAUCUAAAGCUAAAUACUGGCGAGAGACCGAUAGCGAACAAGUACCGUGAGGGAAAGAUGAAAAGCACUUUGGAAAGAGAGUCAAACAGUACGUGAAAUUGUUGAAAGGGAAACGAUUGAAGUCAGUCGUGCCUGCCUAGAUUCAGCCUUCUGGUGUAUUUCUAGGUCGGCAGGUCAGCAUCAGUUUGGGGGGGUUAACAAGGGAGCUGGGAAUGUGGCAACCUCGGUUGUGUUAUAGCCCAGUUUCGCAUUGAUCUCGCUGGACUGAGGAACGCAGUGCGCCCGCAAGGGUUGGUCUUCGGACACAU
rnacentral:rRNA from 1 species